GAUAAUUGGCUUGUGGUAGCUAAGUGUUCAUAGUGACAUUGCUUUUUGAUCCUUUGAUGUCAUUGUGAAGUAGAAUUUACCAAGUGUUGGAUUGUUCACCCACCAAUAGGGAAUAUGAGCUAGGUUUAGACUAUUGUGAGACAGGCU
rnacentral:ncRNA from 1 species